UCACCCUCANCAANGUGNUCAGGUUGNNCCANUUCCAAUCUUCUCCANUCCGUAGGCCAUCCGAGAUACCGCCCCGCCUCCCGCGCGCGGCGGGCGGGGCGGGGGCACGGGGGGCCUACGGGAGGCAGCAGUGGGGAAUAUUGGACAAUGGGGGCAACCCUGAUCCAGCCAUGCCGCGUGUGUGAAGAAGGCUUUCGGGUUGUAAAGCACUUUCAGUGAGGAGGAAAACCUUNCGAUUAAUACUCGUGAGG
rnacentral:rRNA from 1 species